rnacentral:rRNA from 1 species
GGGACACGUGGUAUCCUGUCUGAAUAUGGGGGGACCAUCCUCCAAGGCUAAAUACUCCUGACUGACCGAUAGUGAACCAGUACCGUGAGGGAAAGGCGAAAAGAACCCCGGCGAGGGGAGUGAAAAAGAACCUGAAACCGUGUACGUACAAGCAGUGGGAGCACGCUUAGGCGUGUGACUGCGUACCUUUUGUAUAAUGGGUCAGCGACUUAUAUUCUGUAGCAAGGUUAACCGAAUAGGGGAGCCGAAGGGAAACCGAGUCUUAACUG